rnacentral:tRNA from 1 species
UGCCCGGGUGGUGAAAUUGGUAGACACAAGGGAUUUAAAAUCCCUCGGCCUUUGGCUGUACGAGUUCAAGUCUCGUCCCGGGUAA